rnacentral:rRNA from 1 species
CAAUAGCGUAUAUUAAAGUUGUUGCAGUUAAAAAGCUCGUAGUUGGAUUUCUGAUCGAGACAUCAGGUCGGGUCCGAGAGGAUCAUGUACUUUGAUUUUGUUUUGAUCAUCCUUGGGGAGAGCAUUUCUGGCAUUCAGUUGUCGGGAUUGGGAUCCUCAUCGUUUACUGUGAAAAAAUUAGAGUGUUCAAAGCAGGCCUCGGCCUCUGAAUACAUUAGCAUGGAAUAAUAAGAUAGGACUUUGGUGGUCUAUUUUGUUGGUUUGCACGCCAAAGUAAUGAUUAAUAGGGAUAGUUGGGGGUAUUCGUAUUCAAUUGUCAGAGGUGAAACUCUUGGAUUUAUGGAAGACGAACUACUGCGAAAGCAUUUACCAAGGAUGUUUUCAUUAA